UGCUAAUACCGCAUAAGCGCACGGUUCCGCAUGGAACAGUGUGAAAAACUCCGGUGGUAUACGAUGGAUCCGCGUCUGAUUAGCCAGUUGGUGGGGUAACGGCCCACCAAAGCGACGAUCAGUAGCCGGCCUGAGAGGGUGAACGGCCACAUUGGGACUGAGACACGGCCCAAACUCCUACGGGAGGCAGCAGUGGGGAAUAUUGCACAAUGGGGGAAACCCUGAUGCAGCGACGCCGCGUGAGUGAAGAAGUAUUUCGGUACGUAAAGCUCUAUCAGCAGGUAAGAAAAAAAGUCCUUUGGACUUUGGACGGUACCUGACCAAGAAGCCCCGGCUAACUACGUGCCAGCAGCCGCGGUAAUACAUAGGGGGCAAGCGUUAUCCGGAUUUACUGGGUGUAAAGGGAGCGUAGACCGCAGCGCAAGUCUGGAGUGAAAUGCCGGGGCCCAACCCCGGAACUGCUUUGGAAACUGUGCAGUUCGAGUGCAGGAGAGGUAAGCGGAAUUUCUAGUGUAGCGGUGAAAUGCGUAGAUAUUAGGAGGAACACCAGUGGCGAAGGCGGCUUACUGGACU
rnacentral:rRNA from 1 species